rnacentral:rRNA from 1 species
UAGGCUGCAACUCGCCUACACGAAGUCGGAAUCGCUAGUAAUCGCGGAUCAGCAUGCCGCGGUGAAUACGUUCCCGGGCCUUGUACACACCGCCCGUNACACCAUGGGAGUUUGUAACGCCCAAAGUCGGUGGCCUAACCUUUAUGGAGGGAGCCGCCUAAGGCGGGACAGAUNACUGGGGUGAAGUCGUAACAAGGUACC